rnacentral:rRNA from 1 species
AUUUAACUCUUUCUGCAGUCCUAACACAUGCAAGUCGAACGAGUGGCGGACGGGUGAGUAAUGUCUGGGAAACUGCCCGAUGGAGGGGGAUAACUACUGGAAACGGUAGCUAAUACCGCAUACCAUCGGAUGUGCCCAGAUGGGAUUAGCUAGUAGGUGGGGUAACGGCUCACCUAGGCGACGAUCCCUAGCUGGUCUGAGAGGAUGACCAGCCACACUGGAACUGAGACACGGUCCAGACUCCUACGGUGGGCAGCAGUGGGGAAUAUUGCACAAUGGGCGCAAGCCUGAUGCAGCCAUGCCGCGUGUAUGAAGAAGGCCUUCGGGUUGUAAAGUACUUUCAGCGGGGCGGCGUUACCCGCAGAAGAAGCACCGGCUAACUCCGUGCCAGCAGCCGCGGUAAUAC